CCCUGCCUUGGGCACUGUGUUUUGUUUUGUUUUGUUUUUGCUUUUGCUUUUUGGUGUUUUUUGCCUUCAAAGAGGAAGGAAUGGAUGAACAGGCAAGAGAAGAACAGAGGGGAGGAGGCUGGGAAGCCAGCUCACCACUCUCCCCGUAUUUGGGAGUCGAUACACCCUCCUCCACUCCCCGUGACCCUUGCUAGUGAGGAUGGACUGAGCAAAGGAGCCUUCAGAGUCACAGGACACACUCCCAAAACGGAUGCCAGGGCAUCAGCUCUGGGUCUGGAGAAGAGGACUUUCCUGCAAGGGACACUGGUUGUCCAUUCUGGAAGAGAAGACUCCCCAUGGCCUGUUCUGCACUGGCUCUCACCGACUGAGAAACACUCCAAAUUUGUGCCCAAGUCUAUACGGAGAAGCACGUAAAAGUUCUUGUCCCUGUUCUUUUCAUCAUAAAUCCUACUACAAGGACAACCGAAGGGAAAUUAUCAUACAUUUUCAUUUAAAAAUCUGGGGAGGGGAGGAAAGAGGAAACUCCUUUGCAAUCAGAUUUUCCCACAUUCACAUUUAUCCCUUAUUAACCAUUAAUGGCUCAUUCAUCACACUGUAGAACUAUUGUGCAAAGAUGCAUACAUUUACCCCA